rfam:Sarcophilus harrisii ctg7180001375201, whole genome shotgun sequence.
GCCCGACUAGCUCAGUUGGUAGAGCAUCAGACUUUUAAUCUGAGGGUCCAGGGUUCAAGCCCCACGUUGGGCG